UUUAUAUUGGAACUUUUUUUUCUUUUAACAUUCAUGUUUAUUUAUUUAUACUAUCUUAGAAUUUGCUGCUUUAGAGGCAUGGCAUUUAGUGUCACAUUGUAGGUUUAAAUUGGUUGUAGAAUUUAUAUUGUAACUUGCAUAUUUAUUUAGUUGAGUUUAAUCUAAGUUUAUAUCUGAUGUGUUUGUAUUAUUUUAGAAUUUACUGUUUUAGACACGUGGCAUGUGGUAUCCCACUAAUUAGCUAUUUUAAACAUGUGACAAGUGGUAUGACACUGUAUUGAUGUAUGUGAAAUGUAUAGAGUCUUUUAGUUAUCAGAUAAUGUCAAGGAGUUGACAGCAUGGUGUUCGAUUUAAAGUGCGAACCUGUGUACGAGUAACAACAGUAUUCAAAACCAAAACCUAUUUAAACCAACCAAACCAAAACUAGCGACCAAAAUCUAUCUUGGCAUUGGUUUAUUUUAAACAUCUAUUAUAUAUG
rnacentral:lncRNA from 1 species